rnacentral:rRNA from 1 species
AACGAACGCUGGCGGCAUGCCUAACACAUGCAAGUCGAACGAGACCUUCGGGUCUAGUGGCGCACGGGUGCGUAACGCGUGGGAACCUGCCCUUAGGUUCGGAAUAACUCCCCGAAAGGGAUGCUAAUACCGGAUAAUGUCUUCGGACCAAAGAUUUAUCGCUUUUGGAUGGGCCCGCGUUGGAUUAGCUAGUUGGUAGGGUAAAAGCCUACUAAGGCGACGAUCCAUAGCUGGUCUGAGAGGAUGAUCAGCCACACUGGGACUGAGACACGGCCCAGACUCCUGCGGGAAGCGGCAGUGGGGAAUAUUGGACAAUGGGCGAAAGACUGAUCCAGCAAUGCCGCGUGAGUGAUGAAGGCCUUAGGGUUGUAGAGCUCUUUUACCCGGGAUGAUAAUGACAGUACCGGGAGAAUGAGCUCCGGCUAACUCCGUG